rnacentral:misc_RNA from 1 species
UGGGUAGUGUGGCGGCAGGCAGC